rnacentral:rRNA from 1 species
GUUUGAUCCUGGCUCAGGACGAACGCUGGCGGCAGGCUUAACACAUGCAAGUCGAACGCUCUCUUCGGAGAGAGUGGCAGACGGGUGAGUAACGCGUGGGAAUCUACCCAGUACUACGGAACAACAGUUAGAAAUGACUGCUAAUACCGUAUACGCCCUCCGGGGGAAAGAUUUAUCGGUAUUGGAUGAGCCCGCGUUUGAUUAGCUAGUUGGUGAGGUAAUGGCUCACCAAGGCGACGAUCAAUAGCUGGUCUGAGAGGAUGAUCAGCCACACUGGGACUGAGACACGGCCCAGACUCCUACGGGAGGCAGCNGUGGGGAAUAUUGGACAAUGGGCGAAAGCCUGAUCCAGCCNUGCCGCGUGUGUGAUGAAGGCCCUAGGGUUGUAAAGCNCUUUCAACGGUGAAGAUAAUGACGGUAACCGUAGAAGAAGCUCCGGCUAACUUCGUGCCAGCAGCCGCGGUAAUAAGG